ACAUUCCAGAUGUUUCUCCCUGAGAGGAACCAUGUAUUUGCUUUGAGUUACGCUUUUUCAAAUUCCAGCUGCAACCUUAGUCUCAACAUUCUCAGCCUUGUCAUCUGAACUCUCUAAUGUGGUGUACAGCUGAUCUAAUGAAAUAGCCUUAAAAAAAUUAAUUUAGGAAGAAAGACACCUCACUGUCCCAAUCAGCCAAAGAUUACUCAAAACUAAAGAGGCUAAUUGUUCACUAAAAUGUCUUCAAGGCAAAAACCACCCCCAAAGAUCUUAAAUAAAAAAAAUUAAUUUAUGAAUUCACUACCAUAAGAUGGCAAAGAGGAUUUUUAAAAAGGAUUCAACAAAUUAAAGGAAGAGGAUAGUGGUAUUGACCAUGAUGUGAUAUAUGUCACUUCCACAUUCAGUAGCACCUCUGAGCACCAGAUACUGGGGACAAACAAUUGGGUAGGGCUGCUGCCUUCAUGCCUUACUUGUGAAUUUCAGGGAGACAUUUGAUAGAUUGUUGUUGGAAACAGGAUGCUGGACAGAAUAGAUCCUUGGACUGAUCUAGCACUGCAGUUCUUAAUGAAUAUGGCCACAAGUCUCUGGAAAAGCUACAAUCCCAGAGGCAUCCAUGUCAGUUAGGGGCCUAGAAAAAAAGGUAAAGACAAAAAGUCCCUUUAAAUGCAGAUGGCAAAGCAGCUGCAUUUAUUGCUGCCUCCAGAAUGAAGAGGAAGUGAUGCAGCCUGUCCUCAGUCCCCACCUGGUCACAGGUAAAGGAGGGGGUGGAGGAUGCAGAAGAGGUCAGAUAAUAAGGAGCAGAGUCCAACAGACAUAUCAGAGUUCCGAUGAAGUCCCACAACAACAGGGAGCCUCCUAACAGUUCCAACUGUCAGGAAGCUCCCUGCUGUCAUUGUGAAAUUCCCUCUGAAAGGGCAUGUUGUGUCCAACAUAUGCCAGACCAGACAUCACACACAGCCCUGGUUGGUACUGUCUACAAUGACCAGCAGCAGCUCUCUACCUGAAGAUGUCAAGGAUUGCACCUGGGAUCUUCUGCAUGUAAAGCAGGUUUCCAAAAUAUAUGUGCUCUGACUUCAUUUGUGUCCAGCUCCCUGUCACUCUCUGCCACAGAAAACAAAAGAUGCUGAGAUCCACUUACAGGUGGCAUAAUGUAUUUUGAUGGAUUUUCAGGGAAGUAAAAUUGGGGGCCACAAAGUUUACCAGUAGUGGCAACAAGUGGCAUUCUUCUCUUAUUUCAACAGGAUUUGAUCCCUGCUGUUUUCAUCAUGUUAUACUUCUGAUCAUUUCUACAGUUAUAUUUUUAGAUUGACUUCUGUUGCUUUAUAUAGUAAUUGUAUCAUGUUAUAUUUGCACUCAGCCUUGGUUUAAUUUGUACAAAGUCAGAUAAAAAUAAACUGAACAACAAAAACAA